AGUCGAACGAGAUCUUCGGAUCUAGUGGCGGACGGGUGAGUAACGCGUGGGAACAUGCCCUUCACUACGGAAUAGUCCCGGGAAACUGGGUUUAAUACCGUAUACGCCCUUCGGGGGAAAGAAUUUCGGUGAAGGAUUGGCCCGCGUUAGAUUAGGUAGUUGGUGGGGUAAUGGCCUACCAAGCCUACGAUCUAUAGCUGGUUUUAGAGGAUGAUCAGCCACACUGGGACUGAGACACGGCCCAGACUCCUACGGGAGGCAGCAGUGGGGAAUCUUAGACAAUGGGCGAAAGCCUGAUCUAGCCAUGCCGCGUGAGUGACGAAGGCCCUAGGGUCGUAAAGCUCUUUCGCCAGGGAUGAUAAUGACAGUACCUGGUAAAGAAACCCCGGCUAACUCCGUGCCAGCAGCCGCGGUAAUACGGAGGGGGUUAGCGUUGUUCGGAAUUACUGGGCGUAAAGCGCGCGUAGGCGGAUUGGAAAGUUGGGGGUGAAAUCCCAGGGCUCAACCCUGGAACUGCCUCCAAAACUACUAGUCUAGAGUUCGAGAGAGGUGAGUGGAACUCCGAGUGUAGAGGUGAAAUUCGUAGAUAUUCGGAAGAACACCAGUGGCGAAGGCGGCUCACUGGCUCGAUACUGACGCUGAGGUGCGAAAGUGUGGGGAGCAAACAGGAUUAGAUACCCUGGUAGUCCACACCGUAAACGAUGAAUGCCAGUCGUCGGAUAGCAUGCUAUUCGGUGACACACCUAACGGAUUAAGCAUUCCGCCUGGGGAGUACGGCCGCAAGGUUAAAACUCAAAGAAAUUGACGGGGGCCCGCACAAGCGGUGGAGC
rnacentral:rRNA from 1 species